GAUGAAGAACGCAGCGAAAUGCGAUAAGUAAUGCGAAUUGCAGAAUUCAGUGAGUCAUCGAAUCUUUGAACGCACAUUGCGCCCUGUGGUAUUCCGCAGGGCAUGUCUGUUCGAGCGUCAUUUCAACCCUCAAGCCCCGCUUGGUGUUGGGCCCCGCCCGCUGUGGCCGGCCCUAAAGACAGUGGCGGCGCCGCCUGGCCCUCAGCGUAGUACAUCUCUCGCUCCAGGGUCCGGUGGCCGCCUGCCAGAACCCCCCAACUCUGUGGUUGACCUCGGAUCAGGUAGGGAUACCCGCUGAACUUAAGCAUAUCAAUAAGCGGAGGA
rnacentral:misc_RNA from 1 species